rnacentral:rRNA from 1 species
UACGUAGGGAGCAAGCGUUUGUUCGGAUUUACUGGGCGUAAAGGGCGCGUAGGCGGCGUGUUAAGUCAGUUGUGAAAUCUCCAAGCUUAACUUGGAACGGUCAACUGAUACUGAUGUGCUAGAGUGCAGAAGGGGCAACCGGGAAUUCUUGGUGUAGCGGUGAAAUGCGUAGAUAUCAAGAGGAACACCUGAGGUGAAGACGGGUUGCUGGGCUGACACUGACGCUGAGGCGCGAAAGCUAGGGUAGCAAACGGG